UGGGGAAUAUUGCACAAUGGACGGAAGUCUGAUGCAGCGACGCCGCGGGGGGGAUGAAGGCUUUCGGGUUGUAAACUCCUUUCAGUACAGAAGAAGCUUUAUUGUGACGGUAUGUGCAGAAGAAGCGCCGGCUAACUACGUGCCAGCAGCCGCGGUAAUACGUAGGGCGCGAGCGUUGUCCGGAAUUAUUGGGCGUAAAGAGCUCGUAGGCGGUUUGUCGCGUCUGCUGUGAAAGACCGGGGCUUAACUCCGGGGCUGCAGUGGGUACGGGCAGGCUGGAGUGCGGUAGGGGUAACCGGAAUUCCUGGUGUAGCGGUGGAAUGCGCAGAUAUCAGGAGGAACACCGAUGGCGAAGGCAGGUUACUGGGCCGUUACUGACGCUGAGGAGCGAAAGCAUGGGGAGCGAACAGG
rnacentral:rRNA from 1 species